AGGUUUGCACCCGUCCAUAUUUGCUUACACUGGCGGGUGCAAAACCUAGCUUUUUACGCGGGUAUA